CGGACUUCCUUGCCGACAGUGGCGGGAUGUCGCCGAGGCGGCUGCCGGCAAAGGUGCUGGUGAGCGUGACGGUGCAGGGGAGUCUGGGACCGGUGCAGGUGAUGGCAUCGAUGGAGUGGAGUGUGAAAAAGCUGGUGACAGCGACUGUGCAACAAUAUGCCAAGGAGGGGCGCCGGCCGCAGCUGCCGACUAUAGAGACUG
rnacentral:misc_RNA from 1 species